rnacentral:rRNA from 1 species
UGGGGAAUAUUGGACAAUGGGGGGAACCCUGAUCCAGCCAUGCCGCGUGUGUGAAGAAGGCCUUAUGGUUGUAAAGCACUUUAAGCGAGGAGGAGGGUACUGGUAUUAAUACUACCAGGUACUGGACGUUACUCGCAGAAUAAGCACCGGCUAACUCUGUGCCAGCAGCCGCGGUAAUACAGAGGGUGCGAGCGUUAAUCGGCUUUACUGGGCGUAAAGCGUGCGUAGGCGGCUAAUUGAGUCGGAUGUGAAUCCCCGAGCUUAACUUGGGAAUUGCCUUCGAUACUGGUUAGCUAGAGUGUGGGAGAGGAUGGUAGAAUUCCAGGUGUAGCGGUGAAAUGCGUAGAGAUCUGGAGGAAUACCGAUUGCGAAGGCAGCCAUCUGGCCUAACACUGACGCUGAGGUACGAAAGCAUGGGGAGCAAACAGG